rnacentral:rRNA from 1 species
GACGAACGCUGGCGGCGUGCUUAACACAUGCAAGUCGAACGGAAAGGCCCUGCUUUUGUGGGGUGCUCGAGUGGCGAACGGGUGAGUAACACGUGAGUAACCUGCCCUUGACUUUGGUAUAACUUCAGGAAACUGGGGCUAAUACCGGAUAGGAGCUCCUGCUGCAUGGUGGGGGUUGGAAAGUUUCGGCGGUUGGGGAUGGACUCGCGGCUUAUCAGCUUGUUGGUGGGGUAGUGGCUUACCAAGGCUUUGACGGGUAGCCGGCCUGAGAGGGUGACCGGCCACAUUGGGACUGAGAUACGGCACAGACUCAUACGGGAGGCAGCAGUGGGGAAUAUUGCAAAAUGGGCGGAAGCCUGAUGGAGCAACGCCGCGUGCGGGAUGACGGCCUUCGGGUUGUAAACCGCUUUAGCCUGUGACGAAGCGUGAGUGACGGUAAUGGGUAAAGAAGCACCGGCUAAGUACGUG